AUUUAUUGAAAUCUACUUGAUGCAAGGCACUGUGCUAGAUCUGGUAGGGGAAUCAGACAUAAAGGGUCACCCCUGUCUUAUAAGAGCUCACAAUCUAACGGGGGAGGGGUGGGUGGGGAGGGCAGGGAGGGCGAAGCUCUAGUGCAAGGCUGAUUAUAGUAAGUGCCGUAAAACAGACAAGUUAAGGAGACCAGGGAGGAAUGAGAGAAGAGCGCCAACAACUGAAAUAUGGACUGGGGCGGGCCCAGCUACUGUUCUUAGAUAUGCAAAGAGCAUUGAAGGCCAAGUUAAAAGAGACCAUCUCUAGCUUGGAAAGUAAACACCUACACCGAUACAAUGAUGAGAAGUACAGCACGUGAGUAUACUAGUAAUAGAGAAAUUCCCAAUUCCCCACUUUAACAGAUUCUCCAGAAGUAGCGAGACUUCCAAAAUGAACAACAGGGCGGGUGUUGACUGACACUCGUUUCACGGGACAAACAGGGGAUCCGUACAGGCACGGUACCCGGACAGAAAGGCAUUGGUCAAACUCGCUGAGAGUAAAAGGCAUAGAUUUUUACCCAUCGGAGCGAACAGAACACAGGACCACAUUUAAACAGGUGUUUUCGACCAUCAGGUGGGGCUGGGGCCAGGAGCUCGAGCGGGGUGGACCAUGAGGAAACCAGCCAUGUGAUUCUUCUCAGGAGGCGGCCAGGUGGUAAAAGGCCACUGACUCUUGACGGGUUGCAGAAAGCAGAGCCCCCCUCAAGCUGGCUUCGGUCAAGGGAGACUCUGGUGGGGAGACAAACGAACUGGUGAGGGCAACUGCCAGAGAUCCAAGAACAUAACGAGGCCAGGACUCCGUCGGGGCGCGGGAGUUGAGGCAGCUCUCUGAGUGCUGAGCAGGAGCCCGCAGAUCUUCCAACUGGUGUCACCCACGGGGUCGACUCCUCUAAAUACCGCGUGGCUCCCUCUGUCUUGUGACACCAACUAGAAACUUCUCUCCCGUGUCUCUUGUUUCCAUUUUGCGACAAACAGAGGAACUGAACGGCCCAGCCUGUCGCCUCCAGCCAGCUCUGAUGACCAGUUGCUGCCCGAGUCAAGCGUUCAGUUCUGGUUCAACUACUAUGGCCUAAAAGUGGGGGGUGAGGGCUGCAGCCCCGAGCCCGUGGAAUGCCAACACUGUGACUGGGUGGGGCUCACUGUGGAAAUGCAGAAGAGGGUGUGACACAACUAAUCAACACAGUUAAUCUUAAUAAGCAGCAACAAUGGUAAACAACAACUUUCAUUGAAAAAAUGUCAGCAAGUAUUCAAAACUGUAAUAAAAGCAAUGGAAGGUUUCUUUCGGAAAAUAAGAAAAGGAUCUAUUUCUAAUGAGAGUCGGCAUUCUGUGUAACCCAACUGCUCUUCAUUUCCCUUGCAAAAGGAAUGUGUGUGAUUAGAAAGAAAAAAAACGAAAUGAGGUAGAUACACAAAUGCAUAGACGAGCACACACAACAGGAAGCUUGAUCACAUUUUGCAUCUGACGUAGCAGUACACCUACAGAAUCCAAGGAAUCCACCCCCAAGUUACCAGAGGCAAAAAACGAAACUUGGCACAACUACGGGACACACGUUAAAGCCACGCAUGCUUGCGCGGGAGAGAGCACGGACUUCACCCGCAAACACAGUGGCAGAAAAGACGCGGUCUUUAGUGUUAACUCUAGAGGAGGGUUGGUUUUGGAGAAAACGACAGAACCGAGAACGGAAAAACCUCAAGGACGGCACGACUGCCAGGAUGCCGUGUCCUGCCUGCUGGGGAGGAAUGGAGCGGUGGCGACAACGCUAAGUUCUGAGUUAAUACUGUAUCUGGAUCCUUCAUGAAAGCUGGCAAAAUGGCUAGUGAACAAGCAAGAAAUGGCAGAGUACUUCCAGCGACAGUCGCCAGACUUGCCCCUCGUGAAUGUCAGAUUCCUUACUGGAUGACAGCUGUGUCGAACAUGUCCUGACAGCUUGAAAAGAGAAAACGGAUGCAGAAGGAAGCAGUGAUUUCAGACACAGUUUCACAACUACUGCAAGAACUGAAGCCACAGAGCAAAAGGAGCGGCUAUGUAACAAGUGCUGUUGGCUUCUCUCCAGCCUGAGGGUCAGGGUGGAGACGUCACAGAGAGCCACCACUGUGGCCUGGGGGCCACUCCAGAGUACCUUCUGGCUAAGGUCACAGGGGUCACCGUGGGACCCUGCUUCCCAGGAUGGGGGCCUGAGAAGCUCUUCCAGAUGUGCCUGCCGGGAAGCUCUGCCUCAACCUGGGUGGGCCCAUCAGAAGGGUACACUUCCUCCAUGGGCCCUCUAGAGGCCCCAGGGGACAGCUGCUGGGAAGUCACACCACAGCCCCAGUGAGGCUGGCUUCCACCUGCAGGUUCUGCAGGUCACUGGGGGUCAGGUUUCUGGCCAGCCCUUGCUGCUGUUCCUCUCGAGGGAGGCUGUUGGAAGGAACAGCCUGACCCCGGGACGAUCAGCUUCUAUGUAUAUGCCACAUGGGCCAUCAGAAGGGCAUCAUUGCCCUCCAGACCCCUGUUUUAUUGCCCCUCCUGGGCAUGGCCGCUGAAUGUCAUAGCUGGGGCCUAUUAUUGGCCAGCUUCUAUCACCGAGACACACACGGCAUCAGAGGAGCACGGUUCCUCUCCGAGCCUUUGCUCUGUUGUUCCUCUUAGGUAUAGCUGCAGGAGGUAACAUCAGAACAUGUGGGUGAAUUUCCCCCUAGUUGCCCAAAGCAAAAGCCACCAAGCCGACCUCUUUCUGGUUCCAGAGUCACUCACUGAGAGGAGGAUGCAAUCCACACGACAGCAUCAGUUAGGUGAGUCUUCUUAUGUUCGAGGAGAUGUGUCUUGGGGGGGGGGGGAUCUGCUGCUCAGGCACUGAAUCCAUGCUGGGCAUGGCCAAAGCUCCCAGAAGCUUGAAGGACAGCCAGCUGCAGCCAAGACCACAUUUGGACCACCCCCCGUUGAUCUAGUGGAGGCCCAGCCCUGCUGCUGACAGGUAGGGCUAUACUGAGGAACAGUCAGAAUGUUCUGGCCAAUCCGAGAUGGAAGUUUCUCUUGCGUGUCUGCGUGGCCAGGUUGGAUAGUCAAGUACUGCCCACAGACAUGCACAGAGUCUGCAUCUUGGAUGAGGAGAGAGCCUGCUUCUCUGGCCCAUUCCCAUCCAGCCUGCCCACCUGGUGCAUCCACCUUCUGGUGGGGCAGGGCUUUCAGCUUUUCAUUUGUAAUUAAAAUUCUAGAAGAAAACAUCAUCGUAUCUAAGUACUGAAGCAAUGAAAGUUACGGCUUAACGGACAACGGUGAGUGCUCGGAUAUGAAAACUUAAAAUUCGCACGACAAAAAUGUAAUAAAACGGCUACAAAGGGCAAAAGCAAUAAAACUGGAAAAAAGAUAAUCACAAUCGAUCUAGAAAGAACUGCUGUAUAAAGUCAAUAUAUCCAAAGGUAACUUGAUAACUGGUCAAAGGAGAUGAACGUACGAUUUGCAUGCAAGAAAACGGGAACACGAUUUAAGUCAUUGCAUGAGAGAAAGAAGAUGAGACUAGGAGUCAGGAGGCCUGGGUCCAUCCCCAGUUCUGGUACUAAUGAGCCAUAGAAUGACAGCAAUAAUUAUGGUGAUGACGGCAGAUGACCUUCACUGAGGGUGCACCUUCGGGCCAGGCGUGGCGUCGCGGUUCUCACGAUAACCUUAGGAGGUAGUCCUGUGAUCACCCCUGUUUUACAGAGCCCAAAACGGAGGGCUGGCUCCGUUUGCGGGGAGGCUCACAUUCCUGAAAACGAGCCAUCAGCUUAUACUGGAGUCCUCGAGAUGUCCCUGUUACGGGGAUGCUCUCUCAACUACUUGAGUUUGAACCAAAUAGUGCUGCUUGAGGACAAGACCUAUUAGCCCGAAAACAGACCCCAAUCGAUGCUAGUUUUGGACGCACAUGGAAGUCACCAGAAUGAAUUGGUUUCAGAAAAAUGAAUGCAAAAGAAAUUUAACCCAGAUUCAAUACUUAUUCCUAGGCAUAUGACCUCACGAUGACAAGUUAUAGAUGCUUCAGAAAAGUCUUUUGAAGGUCAUUUUCAGAAAGCAAAACACGUUAAGUGGUUACGUUGUAGAGCUACGGGAUGAAUUUAAGGAAAACAACAACAGUUGUCCUAAUGUAAUGUGACCGUGUACUUAUGGCUUGGGAGGAAAUUUCUAGAGAGGGCCUUGUGCAGGGAUUGUCACAGUGCUACGUGGCACACAGCUUGGAUGAACGGAAGCCACUGGAUGUGCUUUGAAACUGUCGGGUGACUCCAGAGGGGCUACGAUGGUGGUGAGGACGGUGAGGACGGUGGUGAGAAACGCACGUGAGGAUUUAGAAUACGAUGGUCUUCGGGAGUGGCGUGAGGGAAAACGGGGGGUAUUCUCUAAAUUAAUAUAUUAUUCUAUGCAAUAUGUGAUUUACAGUAUGUAUGCAGAACUGAAUUAAUAAAUUAAAUAUUAUAAGACCUUUCUUUGAGUGUUCUAUUUACAUCCCUAAACAUUUCUAAAUUCAAGUAGGCCAAACGACUUUGGGGCUCUCUUGUCUUCAGGCAAGUUGGGGUCACAUGAUGUGGCGGCCGUCGCCGACGCGCUCUGCGU
rnacentral:lncRNA from 1 species